rnacentral:rRNA from 1 species
UGGGUGAUCUGCCCUGCACUUCGGAAUAACCAUUGGAAACGAUGGCUAAUACCGAAUACGACUUCGGACCGCAUGGUCUGAAGUGGAAAGCUCCGGCGGUGAAGGAUGAGCUCGCGGCCUAUCAGCUUGUUGGUGAGGUAAUAGCUCACCAAGGCGAUGACGGGUAGCCGGCCUGAGAGGGUGACCGGCCACACUGGGACUGAGACACGGCCCAGACUCCUAGGGAGG